AGGACCCCCUAGAAUCUGACAAGCUGCCUACGCAGACAGCCUCCUUAGGACUGGUGCUAAGAGAAGCUGCAGCCAGCCUCAUGAGCUUUGGAGCCACCUUGUUAGAGAUCUCAGCCCUGUGGCUACAGCAGGAGGUGCAGCGACUGGAGAGAGGCAACGGCUGCCCAGACCCAGCCCUGGACACUGGGGAUCCUGGUAGGGCGCUGGCCCGUGUAGCCCUGGCAGCAGGGCAGGGGAUUCGGCAAGCUGGAGCAGCAGCUGGCGCAAGUGCCCGAGAUACUCGGGAAACCUCAAGGUGUCGUCCAGCAACAGUGAGGAGAAUGGGGGGACAGAUAAUCCAUCACUGUCCCAGGCCCACCCUGUGUCCAAAUAAAAGUCCAGAACGGGA
rnacentral:lncRNA from 1 species